rnacentral:SRP_RNA from 1 species
CGAGAAGCGAUUUGGCGUCAAGACGGACCUUGCCAUCGUCACGCGCUGGUACCGCAAUUUCAUGCGGCACAUCGCUAUCGACGGAGGGGCCGGCGUUAGGGCGGAGAGGGACGGCGAGCACCGUGUAGAUGAGCCAACGCCUAGGGAAGCAUGAGGCUUG